rnacentral:rRNA from 1 species
UCGGGAAUUUUGGGCAAUGGGCGAAAGCCUGACCCAGCAACGCCGCGUGAAGGAUGAAGUAUUUCGGUAUGUAAACUUCGAAAGAAUAGGAAGAAUAAAUGACGGUACUAUUUAUAAGGUCCGGCUAACUACGUGCCAGCAGCCGCGGUAAUACGUAGGGACCAAGCGUUGUUCGGAUUUACUGGGCGUAAAGGGCGCGUAGGCGGCAAUUCAAGUCAUCUGUGAAAUCUCCGGGCUUAACUCGGAACGGUCAGAUGAUACUGCUUUGCUAGAGUGCAGAAGGGGCAAUCGGAAUUCUUGGUGUAGCGGUGAAAUGCGUAGAUAUAGGAAGGAACACCAGUGGCGAAGGCGACCACCUGGACUGAUACUGACACUGAGGUGCGAAAGCGUGGGGAGCAAACAGGAUUAGAUACCCCUGUAGUCCCUGAGCGGGCUGGCAAGGCGCAU